rnacentral:miRNA from 1 species
UUCCUUCCAAUCAACGAGGUACAUCCUCAUUGAUCGGAAGGAAACCCUUCCGGUCAGGGAGGUAAAUCGACCUCUUUGACCAGAAGGGUUUCCUUCCGGUCAACGAGGAUGUACCUCGUUGAUCGGAAGGAA